CCUACGGGUGGCAGCAGUGGGGAAUAUUGCACAAUGGGCGAAAGCCUGAUGCAGCAACGCCGCGUGAAGGAAGACGGUUUUCGGAUUGUAAACUUCUAUCAAUAGGGAAGAAAGAAAUGACGGUACCUAAAUAAGAAGCCCCGGCUAACUACGUGCCAGCAGCCGCGGUAAUACGUAGGUGGCAAGCGUUGUCCGGAUUUACUGGGUGUAAAGGGCGUGCAGCUGGAGAGACAAGUCAGAUGUGAAAUCCACGGGCCCAACCCGUGAACUGCAUUUGAAACUGUUUCCCUUGAGUGUCGGAGAGGUAAUCGGAAUUCCUUGUGUAGCGGUGAAAUGCGUAGAUAUAAGGAAGAACACCAGUGGCGAAGGCGGAUUACUGGACGAUAACUGACGGUGAGGCGCGAAAGCGUGGGGAGCAAACAGGAUUAGAUACCCGGGUAGUC
rnacentral:rRNA from 1 species